rnacentral:rRNA from 1 species
UACGGAGGGAGCUAGCGUUGUUCGGAAUUAUUGGGCGUAAAGCGCACGUAGGCGGCUUUGUAAGUUAGAGGUGAAAGCCUGGAGCUCAACUCCAGAAUUGCCUUUGAUACUGCAUGGCUUGAAUCCAGGAGAGGUGAGUGGAAUUCCGAGUGUAGAGGUGAAAUUCGUAGAUAUUCGGAAGAACACCAGUGGCGAAGGCGGCUCACUGGACUGGUAUUGACGCUGAGGUGCGAAAGCGUGGGGAGCAAACAGG